CCUUCAGUUUCAUAUCCCAACCCUUCAGUUUCAUAUCCCAACCCUUCAGUUUCAUAUCCCAACCCUUCAGUUUCAUAUCCCAACCCUUCAGUUUCAUAUUCCAGCCCUUCAGUUUCAUACCCCAACCCUUCUGUUUCAUAUCCCAACCCUUCAGUUUCAUAUUCCAACCCUUCAGUUUCAUAUCCCAACCCUUCAGUUUCAUAUCCCAACCCUUCAGUUUCAUAUCCCAACCCUUCAGUUUCAUAUCCCAACCCUUCAGUUUCAUAUCCCAACCCUUCAGUUUCAUAUCCCAACCCUUCUGUUUCAUAUCCCAACCCUUCAGUUUCAUAUCCCAACCCUUCAGUUUCAUAUCCCAACCCUUCAGUUUCAUAUCCCAACCCUUCAGUUUCAUACCCCAGCCCUUCAGUUUCAUAUCCCAACCCUUCAGUUUCAUAUCCCAACCCUUCAGUUUCAUAUCCCAACCCUUCAGUUUCAUAUUCCAACCCUUCAGUUUCAUAUUCCAACCCUUCAGUUUUAUAUUCCAACCCUCAUGAAAAAUGGAUGCCACUUCUCUGUUCUUCAUAAGCUACAGAAAGUCAUGAUUUUGCAAAAAAAGAAAAUAAGACAAAGGAGGAGAAAAACACAGGUCCUUGAUCUAUCUAGGGCUUUACCAGGGUCAGUCCCUAUUCUAGGGCUUUACCAGGGUCAGUCCCUAUUCUAGGGCUUUACCAGGGUCAGUCCCUAUUCUAGGGCUUUACCAGGGUCAGUCCCUAUUCUAGGGCUUUACCAGGGUCAGUCCCUAUUCUAGGGCUUUACCAGGGUCAGUCCCUAUUCUAGGGCUUUACCAGGGUCAGUCCCUAUUCUAGGGCUUUACUAGGGUCGGUCCCAAUUCUAGGGCUUUACUAGGGUCGGUCCCAAUUCUAGGGCUUUACUAGGGUCAGUCCCUAUUCUAGGGCUUUACUAGGGUUGGUCCCUAUUCUAGGGCUUUACUAGGGUUGGUCCCUAUUCUAGGGCUUUACUAGGGUUGGUCCCUAUUCUAGGGCUUUACUAGGGUCAGUCCCUAUUCUAGGGCUUUACUAGGGUCGGUCCCUAUUCUAGGGCUUUACUAGGGUCAGUCCCUAUUCUAGGGCUUUACUAGGGUUGGUCCCUAUUCUAGGGCUUUACUAGGGUCAGUCCCUAUUCUAGGGCUUUACUAGGGUCAGUCCCUAUUCUAGGGCUUUACUAGGGUCAGUCCCUAUUCUAGGGCUUUACUAGGGUUGGUCCCUAUUCUAGGGCUUUACUAGGGUCGGUCCCUAUUCUAGGGCUUUACUAGGGUCAGUCCCUAUUCUAGGGCUUUACUAGGGUUGGUCCCUAUUCUAGGGCUUUACUAGGGUUGGUCCCUAUUCUAGGGCUUUACUAGGGUCAGUCCCUAUUCUAGGGCUUUACUAGGGUUGGUCCCUAUUCUAGGACUAGACACACACACACACACAAACACACACACACACACACACACACACACACACACACACACACACACACACACACACACACACACACACACACACACACACACACACACACACACACACACACACACACACACACACACUCUCCCCAUAUCUCUCUCUCCCCAUUUCUCUCUCUCUCUCUCCCUCUCUCUCUUUCUCUCUUUCUCUCUCCCCAUAUCUCUCCCUCUCCCCAUAUCUCUCUCUCUCUCUCUCCCUCUCUCUCUCUCUCUCUCCCUCUCUCUCUCUAUAUAUACAGUGUUGUAACGCACAAAUGGUUAAAGUACAAAAGGGAAAAUAAAUAAGCAUCUCUCUUUCUGUCUCUCUGUCUCCCUCAUCUCUCUUUCUGUCUCUCUCUCUUUUUCGCUCUCUUAUUUAUUUCCUUCUCCCCAUCACUCUCUCUUCCCCCUCGCCCCUCGCUCUGUAUAUCUCUCUCUCUCUGUCUCCUUCGCUCUGUAUCUCUCUCUUUCCAUCUCUCUCUCUCCAUCUCUCUCUCUUAUCAGUCUUAGCCCUGUGGUCUCUGUGGCUAGCAGCAUUCUUUCAGAGGAGUUUUUAAUUCUUCAAGUCACACACACACAAACAUAAACCAACACACACACACACACACACACACACACACACACACACACACACACACACACACACACACACACACACACACACACACACACACACACACACACACACACACACACACACACACACACACACACACACACACACACACACACUCUGUUCCCUGAACUCUCUGAAGAUUCCUUUGUUCUCCGCUUAGACCUGAAUCAAAGGGACAGAGACAUAGUCAGCUUCACUAUGAAAAGAAAAGCUCCAAAGAUCUGCCACCGACAUAAAAUCCAUCACUAUUUCUUUCCCAUGUACUCUCUCCCUUUCUCUCUCUCUCCCUUUCUCUCUCUCUCCCUUUCUCUCUCUCUCCCUUUCUCUCUCUCUCCCUUUCUCUCUCUCUCCCUUUCUCUCUCUCUCCCUUUCUCUCUCUCUCCCUUUCUCUCUCUCUCCCUUUCUCUCCCUUUCUCUCUCUCUCCCUUUCUCUCUCUCUCCCUUUCUCUCUCUCUCCCUUUCUCUCUCUCUCCCUUUCUCUUAAGUCUCCUACCUCUCUCUGUAUCCCUGUUACUCCUCAUCCCCUCUCUCCCUUUCUCUCUCUCUCCCUUUCUCUCAAGUCUCCUACCUCUCUCUGUAUCCCUGUUACUCCUC
rnacentral:lncRNA from 1 species